CGAAUAACGCACUGAAAAUAUAACCAGUUUAAUAUUAAUAUUAUACAUUUUAUAAAUCAUAUCUUUUAAUAUAAUUCAGUGGCAAAUUUAACGUCAAGCUGAGUAUAGACUGAAUUGUCUUUGGUGAUCAAUUUUAAAGUGGUGACAAAUUUUAUUUGCUUAAAUAUGAUUUUUUUAAAUAAGCCACUGAAACGUAUCGUACACCCACUAAAUUUGUUUACAAUUAUUGAGAUCUAAUUCAACUGUAAGUAGGUUAGAUUGGCCUAGUAGCACUGGUUUCGUUUAUCGUAAGAAGGCACCCUCAUACUUGUUUACAUCAUGUUCCAUAUGUUUUAUCAUUUAAACUUAAAGUGUUCAUUUGUGCAUCGUCGCCACCUUGUCUGAAAGAGUGCGCUAGUGCACAUGCACGGUACACCACAAUAUAAAUUAUGUACGAUCCGGAUAUCACAGCGGCUAAGCCAGUCACUUUAUUUCGAUACAAUAUGCCAGAGUAUAGACGCUUCAAAUAGUCAUUUAGCUCCCAAUACUCAAUACCCGUGUUCUUCGUUCGACUCUGAAAUCAGCAGACUCGCGUAAAGUACGAGUACUCUAGUUAUUUUUUUUCUUUUUGAAACAAUUAAACUCGUUAUUCAUAUAGGUACCCACAUAAGUUGCAUAACUAAUAUAGAUAUAAAUUAUCAAUUAUAUAUUAGUAUUAUUAAAUCGCGUAUACUUGCGCGUUUGUAAUAGUACAUGCCACACGAUGAAAUUUGUAUAAUUUAAAAAAAAAUGUGUUUGUAAAAUACAAUGUUAUAUAAUUAAAUAAGACACAUUACUAUAAAUAAUAUCAUAUAUGAUUAAGUAUAAUAUUAAUAUACAACAUAUU